CCUACGGGAGGCAGCAGUCGAGAAUCAUUCACAAUGGGGGAAACCCUGAUGGUGCGACGCCGCGUGGGGGAAUGAAGGUCUUCGGAUUGUAAACCCCUGUCAUGUGGGAGCAAAUUAAAAAGAUAGUACCACAAGAGGAAGAGACGGCUAACUCUGUGCCAGCAGCCGCGGUAAUACAGAGGUCUCAAGCGUUGUUCGGAAUCACUGGGCGUAAGGCGUGCGUAGGCUGUUUCGUAAGUCGUGUGUGAAAGGCGCGGGCUCAACCCGCGGACGGCACAUGAUACUGAGGGACUAGAGUAAUGGAGGGGGAACCGGAAUUCUUGGUGUAGCAGUGAAAUGCGUAGAUAUCGAGAGGAACACGAGUGGCGAAGGCGGGUUCCUGGACAUUAACUGACGCUGAGGCACGAAGGCCAGGGGAGCGAAAGGGAUUAGAUACCCGAGUAGUC
rnacentral:rRNA from 1 species